CCAAUAGCGUAUAUUAAAGUUGUUGCAGUUAAAAAGCUCGUAGUUGAAUUUCGGGGUCAGUAGAUUGGUCGUGCCACCGGUAUGUACUGGUCUUACUGGCUCCUCCUUCCUGAUGAACCGUAAUGCCAUUAAUUUGGUGUUGCGGGGAAACUGGACUGUUACUUUGAAAAAAUUAGAGUGUUUAAAGCAGGCUAACGCUUGAAUACAUUAGCAUGGAAUAAUGAAAUAGGACGUUCGAUCUUAUUUUGUUGGUUUCUAGGAUUGACGUAAUGAUUAAUAGGGAUAGUUGGGGGCAUUAGUAUUCAAUUGUCAGAGGUGAAAUUCUUGGAUUUAUUGAAGACUAACUACUGCGAAAGCAUUUGCCAAGGAUGUUUUCAUUAAUCAAGAACGAAAGUUAGGGGAUCGAAGACGAUCAGAUACCGUCGUAGUCUUAACCAUAAACUAUGCCGACUAGGGAUCGGAUGAUGUUAAUUUUUUAAUGACUCAUUCGGCGCCUUACG
rnacentral:rRNA from 1 species